rnacentral:rRNA from 1 species
GUGCCAGCAGCCGCGGUAAGACGUGGGGUGCAAGCGUUGUCCGGAAUUAUUGGGCGUAAAGGGCGUGUAGGCGGUCUGAUAAGUCUCCUUUGAAAGCCAUGGGCUCAACCCAUGAUUCGGGGGAGAAACUAUCAAGCUAGACGGCGACAGGGGCAGACAGAAUUCCCGGUGAAGGGGUAAAAUCCGUUGAUAUCGGGAGGAAUACCAGUGGCGAAGGCGGUCUGCUAGGUCGCUCGUGACGCUGAGGCGCGAAAGUCUGGGUAGCGAAAGGGAUUAGAAACCCCCGUAGUCC